GUAGGGAAUAUUGGGCAAUGGUCGGAAGACUGACCCAGCCAUGCCGCGUGCAGGAAGACGGCCCUCUGGGUUGUAAACUGCUUUUAUCUGGGAAGAAAAAGGCCAUGCGUGGCAAAUUGCCGGUACCAGAUGAAUAAGCACCGGCUAACUCCGUGCCAGCAGCCGCGGUAAUACGGAGGGUGCGAGCGUUGUCCGGAUUUAUUGGGUUGAAAGGGUGCGUAGGCGGCUGAUUAAGUCAGCGGUGAAAGACUUCGGCUUAACCGGAGCAGUGCCGUUGAUACUGGUUGGCUUGAGUGUCGGAGGGGUACAUGGAAUUGAUGGUGUAGCGGUGAAAUGCAUAGAUACCAUCAGGAACACCGAUAGCGAAGGCAUUGUACUGGCCGACAACUGACGCUGAUGCACGAAAGUGUGGGGAUCGAACAGGAUUAGAAACCCUGGUAGUCC
rnacentral:rRNA from 1 species